UACGAAGGGGGGCUAGCGUUGGCUCGGAAUCACUGGGCGUAAAGGGCGCGUAGGCGGACUUUUAAGUCAGGGGUGAAAUCCUGAGGCUCAACCUCAGAACUGCCUUUGAUACUGAGGGUCUCGAGACCGGGUAGAGGUAAGUGGAACUGCGAGUGUAGAGGUGAAAUUCGUAGAUAUUCGCAAGAACACCAGUGGCGAAGGCGGCUUACUGGACCGGUUCGUGACGCUGAGGCGCGAAAAGCGUGGGGGAGCAAACAGG
rnacentral:rRNA from 1 species